UACGUAGGGUGCGAGCGUUGUCCGGAAUUAUUGGGCGUAAAGGGCUCGUAGGCGGUUUGUCGCGUCUGCUGUGAAAUCCCGAGGCUCAACCUCGGGUCUGCAGUGGGUACGGGCAGACUGGAGUGCGGUAGGGGAGAAUGGAAUUCCUGGUGUAGCGGUGGAAUGCGCAGAUAUCAGGAGGAACACCGAUGGCGAAGGCGGCAUCCUGGACCAACACUGACGCUGAGUGAGCGAAAGCCAGGGGAGCAAACGGG
rnacentral:rRNA from 1 species